CCUUCUCGCCCCUUCUCGCGUCUUCGCCCCUUCGCCCCUUCGCCCCUUCGCCCCUUCAGGUCAAUGGGCUCCUGGUAGCUGCAGGAACCCCGCCCCGCUGAGCCUAGGCCAGUCAGUGGUCAGUGGUCCCAGAGCUCACCUUCGGCGGUGGGCCGGGCCUUCACCACCCUGGUGACUUUGGUCCAGCUUGGCUGCCUAAUCCUCUACAAAAAUGCGAAGAAAGUAAACCAACAUGUACAAACACGAGUAAACGCAGGAAUAGGCGAGGGAAUGGUCAUCUCCAUGGCAGUGACGUUCCACGGUGCGAAUGGGCAGAGAGAGCCAGUGGCUUCCGGCCUUACAUAACCUUCUCACCUGGGAAGGGCCCCCUGUCCGGUGGACACGUGACUUGCAUGACCUUACCUAUCAUUGGAGACGACUCACACUCCUUACCCUGCCCUCUUGCCUUGUAUACAAUAAAUAACAGCAUGGCCAGGCAUUCAGGGCCACUACCAGUCUCCGUGCCUUGGUGGUAGUGGUCCCCUGGGCCCAGCUGUCUUUUCUUCUAUCUCUUUGUCUUGUGUCUUUAU